UACAGAGGUCUCAAGCGUUGUUCGGAUUCAUUGGGCGUAAAGGGUGCGUAGGCGGCGCGGUAAGUCGGGUGUGAAAUCUCGGGGCUUAACUCCGAAACUGCAUUCGAUACUGCCGUGCUUGAGGACUGGAGAGGAGACUGGAAUUUACGGUGAGCGGUGAAAUGCGUAGAGUAUCGAUAAGGAAGACCAGUGGCGAAGGCGGGUCGUCCUGGACAGUUCCGUGACGCUAAGGCACGAAGGUCAGGGGAGCAAACGGG
rnacentral:rRNA from 1 species